CAGAAAGCUGAGGAAUGCGUUAAAUGGAAACAGACAUUAAUCUGAUUACCGACCAUUUUUAUUCUCCUUGCAAAUUACUAGUAGCAGCCAAUGAUACGAUGUAAAAAAAAAAAAUCACCAUGAAAUAUACCGACUUGCACAUUGCGCACAGAAUGGUGGACAUUUCGGGAAUCCAAUGAAAGCAACGGGAAAGAAUAUAUGGGCGUACGAAUAGGUCAGUGACGGUGUAGAAUAACGACCGCCGGUCACAACAAUGGGCAGUGCAUGUAUUAUUUUACGUAACUUCUUUCAUACUUGUCCGAUACACAAACCACGUAACAUCAGAAACCUUGAGAGUGAUGUUGGGAUGGUACUUGGCCACUCCUUUUUGACUUGUAAUUUAUCACGCUGUUCUUAGAGCUGUUGCUAAAGACGCGAAAAAAUAUAGACAAUCAUUAAUAUCAAAUGGAACCGACGGAUGGGAAGAAAAGUUGAACGAGGACAAUCGAGCGAGUCAAGAAUGGCGAGUCGGUGUUAACGAAAUGAUUUAACGUCUGGUAUGGACUGAAUUGGUUUGUAAGGCGCCACGGCGAGUGUGGAUUUGCUUUGGGUUUCAAACGACGUGCACUUAUUUUAAGGUUUUUCUCGCGUAAAACCUUAUCGGUUGUCGCCACGGUCAGGAGAAAAUUAAUUGGCGUAGGUCACAGUCGAGCCACGGGAAUCGAUCAAAAUUUCGUUACGGUCCGCUGUGCAGCCGACUCAUAAAUCGUGCGCGUCCAGCUCACUACUAUACAUGUUCUAUAAUCUAAUUAAUGGCGUUUUCGUGCAGACCACCGCCGAUUGACGUGGCCCGUUGGAAGCGUCGACAAGGUGAUUAAUGAUGCACGACGGUUUUCGGAUGGUGCCCAAAGUUCUGUACGCGUCGGACCACAAGCUCUUUUAUAUAACAACUACCGCCGACGAACCUUUUCCAAUGUAUCCUUCGCAUAAUAAGAGUGCGAUUUCGCUUGUCUGUGUUAUGCAGACUAAUGUCUAGACCGCGUUACCGUACCUGCCAUUUAGUUCAUUAUUCAUGUUGAGACUACAUUGCCAUUUCCAGAAUUAACCGUACUUGGCGUCCCUAGAUACAAGACUACAACGAUUUUGAGAGCUAAUGAUUUCGCAUUCAAACGAAUAUUUUUCACCCAGUUUUAAAUUGUACGAGCAUUCAGCACUUAUUAAUGACUGGAAAAAAUGCUUGUAUCGUUUUGACGAAGAAAAUACACAGCGAAUAUUUGUUGGAGGGACAGUUAAAUGUGAAAUACGUGGUGGUGGUAGUUUAUCAUCUUCAGCGUUCAGUUCAUUAAUUUUUAUGAUUUUUGUUUCCGUUGUCUCAAAAAAUCUACGGUAAUCAAUAAGUUUCAACAGUGUAAUGGCGACAGCACAAUACAUUGCCAUUGUCCUGAUGAAGUCAUUUUCUAUAAUGAAAUAAAUGCCACACCAAAAUACGAGAUGGUAAAUUUUCCACACGUCCUUUGACUGCGUACUGGUAGCAAACUAUGAUCUUAAACGUAUUUAAUUAAAAAUAACUUAUGCACUCAGUAUGAAGUUAGAAUAAUGAAAAUUUUUCAUGUUUUUAUUUAAUCUAAAAAAGACUAAAUUAUGAAAGUACUUCACUCUAUUUAUAUGGAAAAUUUUGUCUUAUAGUGACCAGCAAAAAAAUAAAAAUGUAUUCUUUUUGACCAACAUCACUUUUUUAAGAAGCCAAAAAAGUAUUUUAAAUAACAACCAAGUUAAAAAAAAAUUUUUUGAUUUAUUUUACAACAAACAUGCAGUUUGAUCGAGGCUUUAAAUAAUGCAAAACUAAUCAAAACUUAGAGUAAAACAAGCUUUUCAUAUUAAAAAAUAUUCAAUUCAUAGAAUUUAUAUAAUUUAAUUUUAGUAUAAUAAACACCCAGUAAAAAAUGUUUGCUUAUUUUUCUUCAUAAUAUGAAUUCCAAUUAAAUUAAGAGAAUUUUUUAAAUAUUUUACUUAUAAGUUUUUUUACACUAAGUUUUACUUCAGAAAGUCAACGAAUUAGCAAUAUUAUUAAAAUAAAAAAACGCAGCACUGUAGGGUCGCGGUACAGUGGGGACGUGGCAAAGUUGAUCCAGUAUAUAUGAUAUAUGCAGUGAUUAAAAUCACUAUUAUAAAAAACGCUUCGACGCAAAUCAGUAGAUAUUUUGCAAUUUUAAAAAAUUGGUAAUUU